UGCGUAGGCGGUUUUCUAAGUCACGUGUGAAAUCUUCCGGCUCAACCGGAAAACUGCGCGUGAUACUGGAUAACUUGAGUGAGGUAGGGGUGUGUGGAACUUCCGGUGGAGCGGUGAAAUGUGUAGAGAUCGGAAGGAACGCCAGCAGCGAAAGCGGCACACUGGGCCUUUUCUGACGCUGAGGCACGAAAGCUAGGGGAGUGAACGGGAUUAGAUACCCCGGUAAUCCUAGCCGUAAACACUGAACACUGGAGGACGGGGUUUCGGCCUUCGUUCUCGUAGCGAAAGCGUUAAGUGUUCCGCCUGGGGAGUAUGGUCGCAAGGCUGGAA
rnacentral:rRNA from 1 species